rnacentral:tRNA from 2 species
AAUAAAGUAAACUAUAUUUUAAGUUAUAGGACUCAUAACCCUAUUAAGGAACUCCCUUUAUUA